rnacentral:tRNA from 1 species
GCUAUGGUAGUCCAGCCAGGUAGGACGGUAGACCGCUAAUCUACUCCCCUUAGGGUCGGAGGUUCAAAUCCUCCCCAUAGCGCCA